UGGAAAUAAAGAAGAAAGAAAAAAAAUAUUCUAAUUUAAACUUUAAACAAACAUUUAGGGCAAAUUUAUAAAAAAUAAGAUGCAAAUGGACCAAUUAGAACGCACAAUUAACUUUGAAGGACCAAAAGGGAAAAUAAUCCCUCCCUCCAAAACGCUGCACAACAAUACGGGUCAGAUUGAAACAGUUAUAAAACAUGUGGCCAAAUUUAUAAGAAAUAAAUAAUUUAAUUUACAAGCACUGUAACAAGAAAGGACCAGUUUCGAAAAUAAACCAUUUGAAUAAAAAACCAAUCAAUGGCCAUUAAACGGCACCACUUUUCGUUAAUAUAAAAAAAAUAAGGAAAAAAGAAAAAAAAUUUCCUUUAAAAACAUCUUUAUUCCAUUUUCUUUAAAGAACAGAGAGGAAAAGUGGGGUUCUCUGCUAGGUUUUUCUUAGCACCCUCCCCACACGUCGCCACCGUCAAAGAUCCACCGCCGCUAAGCCGUCCCUUGGCCUCCGACGACGCUCCGGCGACACCAGUUUUUCGUAGGUAUGAAAGUCGUGGAGGACGUGCGCAAAGUGCUGAACGUGGGGCGAUGUUGAGGCGUGGGUGAGGUUGCCGCGGCUGUUGAUUUUGCUGCUAGGUUUCUCUGUUUUGUGUUUUAGGCUAGUGGGUUAAUUGGGCCCUGUAAUUGGGUUAAGCUUAGCCCAAGUUUUAUUGGAUUUAAUUGUAUUUAAUUUGGGCAGUGUUAUGAUUUUGGGUUGGUCUUAUUUUGAAUGGGCCGGGCAAAAAUGGGCUAUUACAGUCGGUUUUAAGUUUCAAUAACAACGAGAAUGGAUUUUGUCUA